GACGAACGCUGGCGGCGUGCUUAACACAUGCAAGUCGAGCGGGGUCCAUCUUGUCGCAAGACAAGGGAAGACCUAGCGGCGAACGGGUGAGUAACACGUGAGCAACCUGCCCCGAAGACUGGGAGUAACACCGGGAAACCCGGGUGCUAAUACCGGAUAUCCUCAAUGAGUCGCAUGGCUCGAUGAGGAAAUGGAUUCCGCUUCGGGAGGGGGCUCGCGGCCUAUCAGCUUGUGGUUGGGGGUAACGGCCUACCAAGGCUCCGACGGGUAGCUGGUCUGAGAGGACGACCAGCCACACUGGGACUGAGACACGGCCCAGACUCCUACGGGAGGCAGCAGUGGGGAAUCUUGCGCAAUGGGCGAAAGCCUGACGCAGCAACGCCGCGUGGGGGACGAAGGCCUCGG
rnacentral:rRNA from 1 species